rnacentral:rRNA from 1 species
UACAGAGGUCCCAAGCGUUGUUCGGAUUCACUGGGCGUAAAGGGUGCGUAGGUGGUGAGGUAAGUCGGAUGUGAAAGCUCGGAGCUCAACUCCGAAAUGGCAUUGGAAACUACCUUGCUCGAGGGUUGGAGGGGGGACUGGAAUACUUGGUGUAGCAGUGAAAUGCGCAGAUAUCAAGUGGAACACCAGUGGCGAAGGCGAGUCCCUGGACAACUCCUGACACUGAGGCACGAAAGCUAGGGGAGCAAACAGG